rnacentral:rRNA from 1 species
GCAAGUUGGUACCACCCCUUCCCAUCCCGAACAGGACCGUGAAACGACUUUGCGCCGAUGAUAGUGCUGCAACCAGUGUGAAAGUAGGUCAUCGUCAGGC